UAAACUUCUAAUUGAUUUGGUUAUGACAGCCAGCGGCUAAAGUAAAGCCAUAAAACUGCAAAAGCAUAAAAGCAAGAACACGGUAAGUGAUUGAUGGCACGCUAUAUCUGUUCCACACUUGUCAGUGAUCCCGUGUGAGCAGGCGAUGUUCGGUGACAAGGCAGUGGUAUGAAUGUUAAGUGUGGUUAUUUCACAAAGGGCCCAAAUUCUCCUGACAGCUGGGAGUGAGUUACUUCCGAAACGUGUGGUGUGUCUGUCUAAUCCUGAUGCAUCUCUUAACAAUGAUACUUCAUAAAUCCUCAGUUUGUAAAUUCACUAUCAAUGGGGGAACGAAGUGUCAGUCUAUAAUCUGUUGUCAUGGAAAUAGUUGGGAAGUUCGAUGUACAACAGAAGGUUACUGGGAUGUGAAAAGACAAGAGUGUGCUCCUUGAUUCUGCCUCUUCUAAUCUGGAAAUAAAGGCAGAGGCUACACUGAAGGCUAAGGCACGUGCGUUUACUUUCUGGACAGGUGCAUUCUGCUAUCUGAGUAAAUCACACUUAACCAAACAGCGCUGCGUUUGCUCUUGGAUGACAUCUCUUAGCUGCUCAUCUUUACAGCCCUGAGCUUGCUGCCCUGGGAAUACAAUGGAAUUUCUACAGAAAUCCACAUAAGAUGGGAAGUGAGACAAGGACCGGAAAAGAUAAAAUGAAGAAUGAAUGUUAGAGGAGAUGUUCAUAUCUUAACUAAAGUUCAUCAGACGCCGUGGAUAAACCUUGCCUGACCUGAGAAGGUACAAAGGCUGCUCUGAAAGUAAUGUCUCCUGUUUUAUGAUGGCUCAUGAGACCAGAGGCAGAUGUUGGUGGUAUGACAGUGGAGGCUGAACCUUCCUGCCACUAUCCCAUUACAUGUUGUUGCUGUGUGACAGGCAGCAGCAGAGUUGCACUCUGACACAACGGUGUCUUGAUGUGGAAGUGCAGAUGAAGCAAAGAGGGGUCAUUGAGCUCCUCCAUAUGGAAAAAAUGGCACCCGUUGACAUUCAUCAUUGCUGAACGUUUAUGGAGACCAACCAGCGGAUG
ensembl:lncRNA